AUUUCCAGCCAAUAUUUAAACCGAAGGAGCUUAGCAAAUGUUAAGUGUGAUGUCUAACCUACCUCCCAAAUCAAGGCCCGGAUCAUGACAUAGCUGCUCUUAGCCCUUUGCUAGUGCUCCCAUGCCAAACUCCACCCCUCUGCUCCAGGCACUGAACCGAUAAAUACAGGCUAGCUGGUUAGAAUCAACAGAAAAUCAACAUCCCGAAAGCCAAGCUCCAUCAUGAAUGCCCUGGGCCUAGGGUUUCUCCUUCUUCUGGCACUGACAGGAACCAUCAGUGCCCAGGAGGUCGCUCCCAUGACCACCUUGACCUGCGCGAACCGGAGAGGGUACUGCCGCCGCUUCUGCCUUGCCCACGAGAUACACGUAGGCCACUAUGGUUGCCCGCGGCGAUACAGGUGCUGUGUGCCAAAGAUCUACCUUGUGGAAUGGACCAAGCCCAGAAGUGCCAGAUCCAUAUCAACUCCCCCCUAGCCGGAGUGCUGAAGCGGCACUGAAGCCAUCCUCAGUGGAAAGCACGUCUGACCUGGCUUAAUGGGGUGGGGCGAGGGGCCGUGCAGAGGGGGGCCGCCGUCUAUUCUGCUGAGCUCGGAUGAUUAGCUAUAAACAAUAUACACCAGCAGCACAGCCAAACUGGGAUCGAAUUAGCACAGAUCUCAAA